ACGGAGGGUGCGAGUGUUAUUCGGAAUCACUGGGCGUAAAGAGCACGUAGGCGGAUCGGUAAGUCAGAUGUGAAAUCCCGGAGCUCAACUGCGGAACUGCAUUUGAUACUGCCAGUCUUGAGUGUGGUAGAGGGAGGUGGAAUUCCCGGUGUAGAGGUGAAAUUCGUAGAUAUCGGGCGGAACACCAGAGGCGUAGGCAACCUACUGGGCCUUUACUGACGCUGAGGUGCGAAAGCGUGGGGAUCAAACAG
rnacentral:rRNA from 1 species